UACUGUUACUCCUACAGCUAAUUCUGCAGGGCACAGCCCAGAGCCAUGUGGAUUUGACUUACGGGAGUAAAGCGUAACUUUUUACUGCAUCUAAUGAGGGCGUUUUAAGUGACACUCAGUGUACACAGAUCCCAUCCUCUGGCUGCUAGGAGAGAAGUGCUGAAUGUUCCAUGUGGAGACGCUCAGGAAAGUUAUUUGAGUUAAAUUGCUGGCUCAGAGAGCUUGGAAGUCCUUUUCAUAAAAGGAUCAUGGUGGCACAGGAAGGGAUGGCUGGAUAGUAGAAUGCAUCCUCCACAUCUUCAGGAAAGGACAGAGAUACCUCAACAGAAGUUGGGCAGAGACAGUUGGAAGCUGGCCAGGAGCAAUGGCUCACACCUGUACCCCCUGCACUUUGGGAGGCCAAGGCAGCAGAUUGCUUGAGCCAAGAGUUCAAGACCAGCCUGGGCAACAUGGCAAAACCCCAUCUCUAUAAAAUUCAAAAAAAAAAAAAAAAUGGAAGCUUAGCUCAUGUUAUAGGCUAGAUCAACUUGCUUAAUCUCUCAGCCAGUGAGUCUUUUUAGUGAAAAAUAAAGCUG
rnacentral:lncRNA from 1 species